UGCUGUAGGGCCCCAGUAGCCGGGCAUACCCGUUAUCUGUGGAGCCGGCAAACACGAUGUGUUUGCAAUGGACAUUGCCGGCGUGCAACUUGAAAGUUUCUAUAUUGAAGAGCAUUCCUUGCCAGCACCAGCGUCCACAAAAUCGCAUAGGGGAUGGCCCAUGUUGAACCCACGAACAAACAGCUCAAACUCAUUUUCAUCGUCCAGUAUAUGAGCCUCCUGGUAUGUCCUCCUCAAUCCCUUCAAAUUUGCGUAGACACGGACAACCACAGGGAGGUCAGGGCGAAGAUCAGCCAAUUCAUUCUGUACGUACUCCGAAACAUGUUGGAUUAGGCGUCGAGCGGCAUCUUGACCCCCUAAUUCACCAUUUUCUACAAACUCGUCCAAAAACUGCAAUCCAGGAUGGUAUCAGCAUUGACGAGAACCAACGACCCUUAAAAGGUUUUUUAAAAUCCACAAGGGAGAACGCGGUAAAGUCUCAUACAUUCAUCGAGUCUCCAUCAACCAAAACGGACACAAAUGCAUUACGUUCCU
rnacentral:sRNA from 1 species